rnacentral:lncRNA from 1 species
GGGAAGAACAGCUUUCCUGAAUUGAGGAUUCCUAAAUGCCCUGAGCCAGCAGAGCAGGGCAGCAUUUGCUGAUGAUUAGAGCCAUUCCAAACAUUCCUGGGGAAGGGAUUCCUUCCAGCCUGGGCCACUUUGGGUGGGCUGAGGCUGUCCCCAGGGCAGGUGGCAGUGUGUGCAAGAGCCCUUUGUGACACGGUGCAGCAUGGUCACCAUGGUAUGGAACAGGACAGGGUGUCACAGGACCCUUUGUGACAUGUGGUGACUUAGGAGCUGGCGGUGACACAGCCACACCACAGUGCUCGGAGCACGCGACGGGACAGGACGCGCCAGAGCGGUGCUGUGAGGAGCCCCUGCACAGCGCACUCGUUUGUGUCUGACCCGGAGAUUUUCCGUGGUUUUAUUCCAGCAGGUGACCUCGUGGCAAGACUGAGGGAUUUACUGACCACAGUCCUUGACGAGGAGUCUCCCGUCCUUGUGGCAGCAGCCCUUGAGACCAGAUUGCAGCACCUGCUGUCCUGAGUCUUCCAAGGAGUUUAGUCUUGCAGGUGCCUUCCAGGCUCGACUGCAGGACUUGCUGACUCAGAGCUUUUCUGAGGCAUCUCUCUGCAAGUAUCCAUCAAUCCAGUCACUGACAUGGAGCAGAGACCCCCAGGAGUGCCCAAACUGGCCUGGGUGAAUGAGGAGGAAGAAACUCCUGGAGCUACCUCAGCACAGGAGACUGAAGAGGUGGUGCCGUUCCAGGCAGCACAGGAGGGUGCAGCCAUGGACCGGACACAAGAGCAGGAACCCACCGGUGGCCGCUUCCGCAGAACAGCGCAGGAAGAGACCAGCACCAUGGGCACUGGGUCCAUGGAGAACGGUGAUGUCUACACCAGCACGACCAGUGCUGCCCUGCUGGAUAUGCUUGGAGAAGAAGGUUUGCCCAGUCCAAAGCAAGUAAGCAGCCUGUGGCCAGGGAUUGAUCCUCCCAGCAAUUGCUUGGCCUCCCAAGCCACUGGGACCUGCUGCUCCCUGUAAGCCUUUG